rnacentral:misc_RNA from 1 species
UCCCCGUUAUCCGGGGCGGUUUCACUAGAGUGCCACAGCUUUGCCUGGGGGCAACUAAGGACAAGGGUUGCGCUCGUUGCGGGACUUAACCCAACAUCUCACGACACGAGCUGACGACAGCCAUGCAGCACCUGUGUUACGGCUCCCUUUCGGGCACCCCCGCAUCUCUGCGGGCUUCCGUACAUGUCAAGGGUAGGUAAGGUUGUUCGCGUUGCAUCGAAUUAAUCCACAUCAUCCACCGCUUGUGCGGGUCCCCGUCAAUUCCUUUGAGUUUUAACCUUGCGGCCGUACUCCCCAGGCGGCUCACUUCACGCGUUAGCUACGGUACCAAGGAAUCGCUUCCCCAACACCUAGUGAGCAUCGUUUAGGGCGUGGACUAC